GGCUUCGUGGUCGAGUGGUAAGGACACUUGCCUCUCACCUUGGAGUCCCGAGUUCGAUUCCCGGUCGAAGAGGUGGAUUUUCU
rnacentral:tRNA from 1 species